rnacentral:misc_RNA from 1 species
GAUGAAGAACGUAGCGAAAUGCGAUAAGUAAUGUGAAUUGCAGAAUUCAGUGAAUCAUCGAAUCUUUGAACGCACAUUGCGCCCCUUGGUAUUCCGAGGGGCAUGCCUGUUCGAGCGUCAUUAUAACCCCUCAAGCUCAGCUUGGUGUUGGGGCCUGCUGCACUGGCAGCCCUUAAAAUCAGUGGCGGCGCCAUCUGGCUCUAAGCGUAGUAAUUCUUCUCGCUAUGGAGUCCUGGUGGAUGCUUGCCAUCAACCCCCAAUUUUUCUAUGGUUGACCUCGGAUCAGGUAGGGAUACCCGCUGAACUUAAGCAUAUCAAAAGCGGAGA